GCGCGGUGCAUCUUCUUACUAGUGCGAGAUUAUGCAUGACUCUUGGCAACGGAUAUCUAGGCUCUCGCGUCGAUGAAGAACGUAGCGAAAUGCGAUACUUGGUGUGAAUUGCAGAAUCCCGUGAACCAUCGAGUCUUUGAACGCAAGUUGCGCCCAAGACCAUCA
rnacentral:rRNA from 1 species